GUUCUGUUGUUGAUUCAGACCCUGGUUGGUGUUCUGUUGUUGACAGAGAGGUGGAUUCAGACCCUGGUCGGUGUUCUGUUGUUGACAGAGAGGUGGAUUCAGACCCUGGUCGGUGUUCUGUUGUUGACAGAGAGGUGGAUUCAGACCCUGGUCGGUGUUCUGUUGUUGACAGAGAGGUGGAUUCAGACCCUGGUCGGUGUUCUGUUGUUGACAGAGAGGUGGAUUCAGACCCUGGUCGGUGUUCUGUUGUUGACAGAGAGGUGGAUUCAGACCCUGGUCGGUGUUCUGUUGUUGACAGAGUGGUGGAUUCAGACCCUGGUCGGUGUUCUGUUGUUGACAGAGUGGUGGAUUCAGACCCUGGUCGGUGUUCUGUUGUUGACAGAGAGGUGGAUUCAGACCCUGGUCGGUGUUCUGUUGUUGACAGAGAGGUGGAUUCAGACCCUGGUCGGUGUUCUGUUGUUGACAGAGAGGUGGAUUCAGACCCUGGUCGGUGUUCUGUUGUUGACAGAGAGGUGGAUUCAGACCCUGGUCGGUGUUCUGUUGUUGACAGAGAGGUGGAUUCAGACCCUGGUCGGUGUUCUGUUGUUGACAGAGGGUGGAUUCAGACCCUGGUCGGUGUUCUGUUGUUGAUUCAGACCCUGGUCGGUGUUCUG